GACCUGUGGAGGGGCGGGGACGGUGGUGUCUCCUGCGGGCCUCCGGGGAGACCGCGUGCUAAUGGGUGGGGCUGUGGGGUGGGGAAGUUAGAGAAGGCUGUGGAGUAGCUAGCUCUGAACGCACAGUCCUCGGCUUUGGGGCUCCUCAGCCCGUGGACCUUGCAGCCCCGGGCCGAAGAGGGCUGGACGGGACACGCGUUCCAAGGAGCUGCGGCGUAGACCGCCAGCUCGGGGCCUGCUCCCCCGGGCUUGGGCAAAUCUAGAAAUGCUUUUCCGCAGCUGUAUGACGUUUUAACCUUUGCCCUGACUGGGGUCAGGGGGCAGGUUACCCGAGUCCCUUAAAAAUGGAGCAAAUCAGGAGAGAAAAAUCCUUGAAAAGGAGAAGUUAAAAUAUUUGCACUGUGAAAACAUGGGAAUAGCUGUUGAAACCUGGUGGUAUGCUGUGUGAAUUAAGUUUAGGCUUUACCACUUCGAGGCAGAAGAAGCUGCCUCUCUCCUUAUCCCCUUCACCCCGCCGAGGAAAACUGGCGGUAAAUGGAAUUAACAGGUGCUGGGCAGCUGCAAGCAUACCUGGGGCAGAGUUACAGAUGGUGAAAGAGAGUGAUAAUAGCUAAGAGGCACAUUCCUAAACGUGACCCGAAUUGUGAUAAGGUGAAAAGCACCGGUCAAGAGGUGUCCUGAACCUCCUCCUUGCCCUCUGCCAAGUGGUCGGCCGGAGCGAGUGGAUGCAAAGGGAAGAGAACUGCUGCACGCGCUGAGCGCCAGGCUCCACUCUUUCCGCUCUAAUCCCCAGCGGACGGUUUUCAGCCCAUCUGUUUGAAGAGGAAUGCAGAGCCAGCUCCAUCCUAAUCCUAAAGCCAGUUUAGAAGAGACUCUUUCAUUGUCCCUGGGACCAAGUCUGUGAAACUACUCCAGGAAAGAAUGAAAAAACAGAGAUGGUGAAUUUUCCUACUUUCAUUUCACAGAACUUAUAAGAAAAGUGGAUUCUACAGCUUUAAGAGCUUUCCAGGCUGGCUGUUUUUGUGGAUGAGUAACAGAAGUAAAAUUAAUACUAUCCAAUGAAUUUUGUAAGUUGGCAUCUAACAAAGUACCAAAUGGACAAGACUGUAGAAGCAAGUCCGGCAACUGGCUCACUUUUGUAUUUACAUCAGUGUCAUUUUUUUGACCUGAGUAAAGAAAAUCCUGUAACCCAAAAAGAAGUUCAAAACCUUGUGAAAUUCCACAAAUACUAAUUAAUGGUGGAUGAGGGGAUAAAGUUUGUUCAACCA